AUGUACGUAGUACCACUGUAUGUUUGUAUGUACGUAGUACCACUGUAUGUUUGUAAGUACGUAGUACCACUGUAUGUUUGUAUAUACGUAGUACCACUGUAUGUUUGUAUGGAAGUAGUACCUCUGUAUGUUUGUAUGUAUGUAGUACCACUGUAUGUUUGUAUGUACGUAGUACCACUGUAUGUUUGUAUGUACGUAGUACCACUGUAUGUUUGUAUGUACGUAGUACCACUGUAUGUACGUAGUACCACUGUAUGUUUGUAUGGACGUAGUACCACUGUAUGUUUGUAUGUAUGUAGUACCACUGUAUGUUUGUAUGUACGUAGUACCACUGUAUGUUUGUAUGUACGUAGUACCACUGUAUGUUUGUAUGUACGUAGUACCACUGUAUGUUUGUAUGUACGUAGUACCACUGUAUGUUAUUAUGUACGUAGUACCACUGUAUGUUAUUAUGUACGCAGUACCACUGUAUGUUUGUAUGUAUGUAGUACCACUGUAUGUUAUUAUGUACGUAGUACCACUGUAUGUUUGUAUGUAUGUAGUACCACUGUAUGUUUGUAUGUACGUAGUACCACUGUAUGUUAUUAUGUACGCAGUACCACUGUAUGUUUGUAUGUAUGUAGUACCACUGUAUGUUAUUAUGUACGUAGUACCACUGUAUGUUAUUAUGUACGUAGUACCACUGUAUGUUAUUAUGUACGUAGUACCACUGUAUGUUUGUAUGUAUGUAGUACCACUGUAUGUUUGUAUGUAUGUAGUACCACUGUAUGUUAUUAUGUACGUAGUACCACUGUAUGUUAUUAUGUACGUAGUACCACUGUAUGUUAUUAUGUACGCAGUACCACUGUAUGUUUUUAUGUACGUAGUACCACUGUAUGUUUGUAUGUACGUAGUACCACUGUAUGUUAUUAUGUACGUAGUACCACUGUAUGUUAUUAUGUACGUAGUACCACUGUAUGUUAUUAUGUACGUAGUACCACUGUAUGUUAUUAUGUACGUAGUACCACUGUAUGUUAUUAUGUAUGUAGUACCACUGUAUGUUUGUAUGUAUGUAGUACCACUGUAUGUUUGUAUGUACGUAGUACCACUGUAUGUUUGUAUGUACGUAGUACCACUGUAUGUUAUUAUGUACGUAGAACCACUGUAUGUUAUUAUGUACGUAGUACCACUGUAUGUUAUUAUGUACGUAGUACCACUGUAUGUUAUUAUGUACGUAGUACCACUGAAUGUUUGUAUGUAUGUAGUACCACUGUAUGUUUGUAUGUACGUAGUACCACUGUAUGUUAUUAUGUACGCAGUACCACUGUAUGUUUGUAUGUAUGUAGUACCACUGUAUGUUUGUAUGUACGUAGUACCACUGUAUGUUAUUAUGUACGCAGUACCACUGUAUGUACGUAG
rnacentral:lncRNA from 1 species